rnacentral:tRNA from 1 species
GGAGGGGUGGCAGAGUCCGGUUUAAUGCGCACGACUCGAAAUCGUGUGUCCUCUUAGUCGUGGACCGUGGGUUCAAAUCCCGCCCCCUCCGCCA